rnacentral:tRNA from 1 species
GCUGGGGCAGUGGCUCAACAGUAGAGCAUCUGCUUGGUAUGCAGAAGGUGCCGGGUUCAUCCCUUGGUCUCUCCAGUU